GAUGAACGCUAGCUACAUGCUUAACACAUGCAAGUCGAGGGGACACGGCAUCAACAGCUUGCUUUUGAUGGGCGUCGACCGGCGCACGUGAGAGGAACGCGUAUCCCACCUGCGCAUCACUUGAGAAUAACCUUGCGAAAGUAAGACUAAUGACCAAUGACAUCCCACUAAGGCAUCCGAAUGGGACUAAAGAUUUAUCGGUUAUGGAUGGGGAUGCGUCUGAUUAGCUUGUUGGCGGGGUCACGGCCUACCAAGGCAACGAUCCGUAGGCGUUCUGAGAGGCAGGCACCCCAGAAUGGAACUGAGACCCGGUCCCAAACGGUACGGGAGGGAGGAGUGAGGAAUAUUGGUCGAUGGGCGAUGGCCUGACACAGCCAAGUGGCGUACAGGAUGACUGCCCUAGGAGUUGUAAACUGCUUUUAUAAGGGAAUUGAGUGGGUAACGUGUGACUUUUUGAAGGUACCUAAUGAAUAAGGACCGGCUAAUUACGUG
rnacentral:rRNA from 1 species